rnacentral:tRNA from 2 species
GCGGGUGGAGCAGCUCGGUAGCUCGCUGGGCUCAUAACCCAGAGGUCGCAGGUUCAAAUCCUGUCCCCGCU